GCUACGGGUGGCUGCAGUGGGGAAUAUUGCACAAUGGGGGAAACUCUGAUCCAGCAACGCCGCGUGAGUGAUGAAGUAAUUCGUUUCGUAAAGCUCUAUCCGCAGGGAAGAAAAUGACGGUGCCUGCGUAAGAAUCCCCGGCUACCUACGUGCCACCAGCCGCGGCAAUAAGUAGGGGGCAAGCGUUAUUCGGAGUGACUGCGUGUAAAGAGGGCGUAGACGGUGGGACAAGUCGGGAGUGAAAUUCCGCAGGUUAACUGCGGAACUACUUUGGACAAUGGCGAACUAGAGUGCGGGAGGGGUAAGCGGAAUUCCUAGUGUAGCGGUGGAAUGCGUAGAUAUUAGGAGGAACACCAGUGGCGAAGGCGGUUUACUGGACUGUAACUGACGUUGAGGCUCGAAAGCGUGGGGAGCAAACAGGAUUAGAUACCGUUGUAGUC
rnacentral:rRNA from 1 species